GGGUGUAUGGCCGAGUGGUUAAGGCGCUUGCUUCAGGAAUGCAAGUCUGUUAAGUUAACAGGCGCGAGUUCGAACCUCGCUGCAUCCA